rnacentral:rRNA from 1 species
AUUGAACGCUGGCGGCAGGCCUAACACAUGCAAGUCGAACGGUAACAGGAAGCAGCUUGCUGCUUCGCUGACGAGUGGCGGACGGGUGAGUAAUGUCUGGGAAACUGCCUGAUGGAGGGGGAUAACUACUGGAAACGGUAGCUAAUACCGCAUAACGUCGCAAGACCAAAGAGGGGGACCUUAGGGCCUCUUGCCAUCGGAUGUGCCCAGAUGGGAUUAGCUAGUAGGUGGGGUAACGGCUCACCUAGGCGACGAUCCCUAGCUGGUCUGAGAGGAUGACCAGCCACACUGGAACUGAGACACGGUCCAGACUCCUACGGGAGGCAGCAGUGGGGAAUAUUGCACAAUGGGCGCAAGCCUGAUGCAGCCAUGCCGCGUGUAUGAAGAAGGCCUUCGGGUUGUAAAGUACUUACAGCGGGGAGGAAGGGAGUAAAGUUAAUACCUUUGCUCAUUGACGUUACCCGCAGAAGAAGCACCGGCUAACUCCGUG